GACGAACGCUGGCGGCGUGCCUAAUACAUGCAAGUCGAACGAACCGCGACUAGGUGCUUGCACUUGGUCAAGGUGAGUGGCGAACGGGUGAGUAACACGUGGGUAACCUACCUCACAGUGGGGGAUAACAGUCGGAAACGACUGCUAAUACCGCAUAGGACAUAGGAUCACAUGAUUCUGUGAGGAAAGGUGGCGCAAGCUAUCGCUAAGAGAUGGACCCGCGGUGCAUUAGCUAGUUGGUAGGGUAAAGGCCUACCAAGGCGAUGAUGCAUAGCCGACCUGAGAGGGUGAUCGGCCACAUUGGGACUGAGACACGGCCCAAACUCCUACGGGAGGCAGCAGUAGGGAAUCUUCCGCAAUGGACGCAAGUCUGACGGAGCAACGCCGCGUGAGUGAAGAAGGUCUUCGGAUCGUAAAGCUCUGUUGUUAGAGAAGAACAGCGCAUAGAGUAACUGUUAUGCGUGUGACGGUAUCUAACCAGAAAGCCACGGCUAACUACGUG
rnacentral:rRNA from 1 species